rnacentral:rRNA from 1 species
AGUGAACGCUGGCGGUAGGCCUAACACAUGCAAGUCGAACGGCAGCACAGUAAGAGCUUGCUCUUACGGGUGGCGAGUGGCGGACGGGUGAGGAAUACAUCGGAAUCUACUUUUUCGUGGGGGAUAACGUAGGGAAACUUACGCUAAUACCGCAUACGACCUACGGGUGAAAGCAGGGGAUCUUCGGACCUUGCGCGAUUGAAUGAGCCGAUGUCGGAUUAGCUAGUUGGCGGGGUAAAGGCCCACCAAGGCGGCGAUCCGUAGCUGGUCUGAGAGGAUGAUCGGCCACAUUGGAACUGAGACACGGUCCAGACUCCUACGGGAGGCAGCAGUGGGGAAUAUUGGACAAUGGGCGCAAGCCUGAUCCAGCCAUACCGCGUGGGUGAAGAAGGCCUUCGGGUUGUAAAGCCCUUUUGUUGGGAAAGAAAAGCAGCAGGUUAAUACCCCGCUGUUCUGACGGUACCCAAAGAAUAAGCACCGGCUAACUUCGUG